GAUGAACGCUAGCGGGAGGCUUAACACAUGCAAGUCGAGGGGUAACAGAGGUAGCAAUACCUGCUGACGACCGGCGUACGGGUGAGUAACACGUAUGCAACCUACCCUGUACUGGGGGAUAGCCCGGGGAAAUUCGGAUUAAUACCCCAUAAUAAUAUUGAGAGGCAUCUUUUAAUAUUUAAAGUUACGACGGUACAGGAUGGGCAUGCGCAACAUUAGCUAGUUGGUAGGGUAACGGCCUACCAAGGCAUCGAUGUUUAGGGGACCUGAGAGGGUGAUCCCCCACACUGGUACUGAGACACGGACCAGACUCCUACGGGAGGCAGCAGUGAGGAAUAUUGGUCAAUGGGCGCAAGCCUGAACCAGCCAUCCCGCGUGCAGGAAGACGGCGCUAUGCGUUGUAAACUGCUUUUCCAGAGGAAGAAAACCUGCUACGUGUAGUGGCUUGCCGGUACUCUGGGAAUAAGCAUCGGCUAACUCCGUGCCAGCAGCCGCGGUAAUACGGAGGAUGCAAGCGUUAUCCGGAUUUAUUGGGUUUAAAGGGUGCGUAGGCGGAUUAAUAAGUCAGUGGUGAAAACCUUCAGCUUAACUGGAGACUUGCCAUUGAUACUG
rnacentral:rRNA from 1 species